CCUACGGGAGGCAGCAGUGGGGAAUAUUGGACAAUGGGCGCAAGCCUGAUCCAGCCAUGCCGCGUGAGUGAUGAAGGCCUUAGGGUUGUAAAGCUCUUUUAUCCGGGACGAUAAUGACGGUACCGGAGGAAUAAGCCCCGGCUAACUUCGUGCCAGCAGCCGCACAUCCUACGGGAGGCAGCAGUCAGGAAUAUUGCGCAAUGGAAGGAAACUCUGACGCAGCGACGCCGCGUGGGUGAUGAGGUCG
rnacentral:rRNA from 1 species